rnacentral:rRNA from 1 species
CGCCAGCAGCCUCGGUAACACGUGGGGCGCAAUCGUUAUUCGGAAUUAUUGGGCGUAAAGGGCGCGUAGGCGGUCUUGUCGGUCAGGUGUGAAAGCCCGGGGCUCAACCCUGGAAGUGCACUUGAAACAGCAAGACUUGAAUACGGUAGAGGAGAGAGGAAUUCCUGGUGUAGAGGUGAAAUUCGUAGAUAUCAGGAGGAACACCGAUGGCGAAGGCAUCUCUCUGGACCGAUACUGACGCUGAGGCGCGAAGGCGUGGGUAGCGAACGGGAUUAGAUA